rnacentral:rRNA from 1 species
AACGAACGCUGGCGGCAGGCCUAACACAUGCAAGUCGAACGCUCGUAGCAAUACGGGAGUGGCAGACGGGUGAGUAACACGUGGGAACCUUCCCUAUGGUUCGAAUAGCUCAGGGAAACUUGGGGUAAUACCGGAUAAGCCCUUCGGGGAAAGAUUUAUCGCCAUUGGAUGGGCCCGCGUCGGAUUAGCUAGUUGGUGAGGUAACGGCUCACCAAGGCAACGAUCCGUAGCUGGUCUGAGAGGAUGAUCAGCCACACUGGGACUGAGACACGGCCCAGACUCCUACGGGAGGCAGCAGUGGGGAAUAUUGGACAAUGGGCGCAAGCCUGAUCCAGCCAUGCCGCGUGAGUGACGAAGGUCUUCGGAUUGUAAAACUCUUUUGGCGGGACGAUAAUGACGGUACCCGCAGAAUAAGCACCGGCCAA